CUUAUAACCUUCCAUUACCAACUGAUGGGCUCGACAUACGUAGUCGAUAUUAUUUGAAUGGUUAAAGGAAGUCACAACACUACCACCGAAUAAGAAACCAGUCCCACGAGGACUCAAACCUCAUCCAUCAACAAUAUCUUCUGGAUCUGACCAUAGGAGAUCACACAUGGCACCAUUAUGAGGCACUUCUUGCUUCUGGUCAAUUGUUCGAAUCUACCAUAUAGAUGAAAUUACUUUCCUUUCAAACAAGAAAUAUAGCAAAGGAUAACAAACAAGAUUUUUAACUUCUUUUUCUUCCUUAAUCAAGAUGAUAAGUUCUACCGCUCCAAACAUGCUCAAGAGGUUCAGGAUAGUUCUCAAAGCUUAUCUAAUGCUGAAAUUGUUGAAUAUUUGUUUAAAAUCAAUGGAAUGAUAAUGAGCUAAUUGGUUAGCU
rnacentral:lncRNA from 1 species